rnacentral:lncRNA from 1 species
GCGUGCCGGGAGGAGGGCCUGCCUCGCGAGGGCUUCACGUCAAGGGCUUGGCGACGGCCGUGUCCCCCGUGGUCCCCUCGUCCCCUGCGCUUUGGCAUGUCACCCCCUCCCUCUUACCAGCAAGUGAGCUGCCCUUGGACGUCCCUGUGACCCCAGGAGCAGGGACUGCACUGUCGCCCUGUACCUGUAGGGUCACGUACCCCCUCGCGUGCCGCUGGAAGGUGGACAACCCUCGUUCCACUUUAUUUUAAAUCCUGGUAGAGCUUGCAAUGAGUCACGAUUCCCGUGCUUGCGUUGGUGACAGCGCAGUACAACCCUUGCUGAUGCCUCCCAAGGAAACGUCUGUUCCCUUGGAGCAAAACUGGCCGUCCAUCUCAGGUCCUGCCUGGUCCCCACGGCUCCAUCGGAUGUCGUUGGCUGGGGACGGACGCCGCGCGCUCACGCCGUCGUUCUGUCGGUUCCAGGGUCCCCCGCUGACGAGCGAGACAUGCAGUAGGAGCCGGCGCUUCCCAUCGGAGAGCGACGCUCCUGGGUGCCGCGAGGCCCUGGGCACAGCCGGGAGAGCGGCUCGGGAGAGGCCAGGAGAUGCACCAAAUCAGCUGCCUCCUCGCAGGGCUUGUCUUCAUCCUCGGCGUGACCGGCACGGACGGUUUUGCCCGGGCAGGCCGUCGAGCGUGCGCCGCGGAGGCGCCGAGCCGGCCGGCCGCCGUCCCGCAGUCCCCCGUGCAGCC